GAUGAACGCUGGCGGCGUGCCUAAUACAUGCAAGUCGAGCGAACGGACGAGAAGCUUGCUUCUCUGAUUUUAGCGGCGGACGGGUGCGUAACACGUGGAUAACCUACCUAUAAGACUGGGAUACCUUCGGGAAACCGGAGCUAAUACCGGAUAAUAUUUUGAACCGCAUGGUUCAAACGUGAAAGACGGUCUUGCUUUCACUUAUAGAUGGAUCCGCGCUGCAUUAGCUAGUUGGUAAGGUAACGGCUUACCAAGGCAACGAUGCAUAGCCGACCUGAGCGGGGGGACGGCCACACUGGAAGUGAGACACGGUCCAGACUCCGACGGGAGGCAGCAGUAGGGAAUCCUCCGCGAUGGGCGAAAGCCUGACGGAGCAACGUCGCGGGAGUGAUGAAGGUCUUCGGAUCGGAAAACGAUGUUAGUAGGGAAGAACAUAUGUGUAAGUAACUGUGCAGAUCAUGACGGUACCUAAACAGAAAGCCACGGCUAACUACGUG
rnacentral:rRNA from 1 species